CCUGUGCCUGCCCCAUGCCUGCCCUAGCAGUGAUGGCAAGGGAUUUACCACUUUGUAUGGUGUGCCUGAUUUUCUGAAGGUAGCCUGAAGGUAGAACCACCCAUGGCUGAAUCCUCGCCUCCUCAAGGGCCUUUGCUGUGCACCUAUCCCACCUGAUGUCCGUUGCUCAUCAUAGGUGUGGGUGGUGUCUGUCUCUCUGUUGGGGGUGUGUGUGUCCUGUGAGGUUUCUACCUCAGUGACACUGAUGUCAGCCCUUCCUUUCUCUCAUAUCUGUUUGCUAACACAACUGAGUUAAGAAGCAACCACCCUCAUCUUCAAAUUAAGCAGGAAGAAUUGUCACCACAGAGUUUACAAGUCCCUGCCCUCUUGGUGUGAGAAGAGCAGGAUUUAAAUGGUCUAGUUUAUUUCUGGAGGACUCUAAUCUAGCAGCACAGCGCCAUGGGGAAGGAGUGGCAGCCUGCCUGAGGAGCACGGAUACCACUGUGCUAUGUCCGCUCUGACAAACGGCUACUCAUGUGGGCCUGAGUAAAGGUUCAUAGCAGAGAGGCCUGGCUCACAACACAAUGAUGUGGGAGGGUCACAGAACUUCUGAAAAGACAACUCAUCAGAGACAAGGAAGACAGUGUGCCCGGGACCUUGGUCAGAACACAGCGUUGAAAGUAUUUACUGAGGAUGGUGUGUAUCGGAAAGCAGCCUUCGUUUGUACCAUGAGUUCCGACUCUUCUUGGAAACACAAGCACAUGUCUAUGUGUACACAUGCACAGGGUGCUGUCUGAGAACCUGUGCUCUGCAAUGGAUGGAUACGACCUUGAAGCCCAGAGGCCUCUGCGUAUCACCUGGGUCACCUGCUGGGGGCAGGAAGCUGACCUACCUUGUCCUGGAAGUCAGGGUUAGAGCCAAAGCUGCAGAGAAGCUGCACCACAUCCGCGUGUCCAUAACGGGCUGCCACAUGAAGGGCUGUCUCUCCAGACUGCAAGAGAAGACCAGAACUCAGAACCACUCAAGAGACCAUGCCUUCCAUUUGCUCCCCAGAGAUGAAGGGCAGGACGUGGGGUCAGGCGGCCCCUAGGCAGCAAGGGCUGCACACUCAUACCUGGUUCAUCUCGUCACUAACAACAACUCGGUGAGACUAUGUUCCCGUUACCGUGAGGGCCAUGUUUUACCUCCUUCGUGGACAGAUGAUUUCAGCCACUCAACUUGAAACUAAGACUCUCCCCUGCCCCCGCUCUUGUACACAUGCACAAACCCCUUUAAGGUCAGGCUCAUCAUUCUGCCAUUAUUUAAAUGUGUAGCUUUUUAAUUAAAUCGUUAACUACUUCC